UGGGGAAUUUUGGACAAUGGGGGCAACCCUGAUCCAGCAAUGCCGCGUGAGUGAAGAAGGCCUUCGGGUUGUAAAGCUCUUUUGUCCGGAAAGAAAUCCCCGAGGUGAAUAGCCUGGGGGGAUGACGGUACUGGAAGAAUCAGCACCGGCUAACUACGUGCCAGCAGCCGCGGUAAUACGUAGGGUGCAAGCGUUAAUCGGAAUUACUGGGCGUAAAGCGUGCGCAGGCGGUUUGCCAAGACAGAUGUGAAAGCCCCGGGCUCAACCUGGGAAUGGCAGUUGUGACUGGCAGGCUAGAGUGUGUCAGAGGGGGGUAGAAUUCCACGUGUAGCAGUGAAAUGCGUAGAGAUGUGGAGGAAUACCGAUGGCGAAGGCAGCCCCCUGGGAUAACACUGACGCUCAUGCACGAAAGCGUGGGGAGCAAACAGG
rnacentral:rRNA from 1 species